rnacentral:lncRNA from 1 species
UUGUAAUUGAUUUAGAAGAAUAAUAUUUAAGGAAAUACUCAAAAUCUUACCACAAAGUCUAAAAUCUCAACGAUAGUCAUUAAAAAAAAAAAUACAGUAUGUGAAACUUCUACGAUGAGGUAAAAGCAAAAGGAUAAAUGAAGAAGAAUGUGCAAGAGGAGCUGGGCUAGAGAUUACGCGGUGAGGUGGGGCCUUAUGUCGUAGAAGGAAAGCUACAAAAUCAUAAAUCACGCGAGAUGAUGAUCCAACUCGUAACCCACGUGUACUCUUCAAUCACUACAAAAAGUCAAAUCAACGCGCCAACAACAUGGACGCCCUGGGCCCCAACCGACUAGCCCACACUUCCCUCCAAAACCACUGUCGUAAGCAGUGACAAAAUCACCUCGUGUGGGCUCGCGACACGCGCGCACCACACUUCAUAGCGCCACACGUGUCCAAUUACAUAUCACCUAACUUUUUUUUCUCUCCUAAAAUCCUGCCAUUGAAAUAAAAGGAAAUGUAAAAGGAAUCAGAACACGAUACAAAAUACUAGAGAAUGACGGCCAUUUUAUUUUAACCUAUUUACUAAAUUCUAAAACUGUCACCCUACCUAACCUUGGACUUUUAAUUUGAAAAAUCAAUUACACAAAUAAUAGUAAUAAGAUGUACAAUUAAAGACAAAAAAUGAAACACUUUUUUUUUUCUUUCUUUCUUUUCCCACGCUCUACUCCACGGGGUAUGCGCGUAACACGUACGGUGAGAAAUAAAAAGAAGAUAAAGGAUCUAAUAUUGGUAAUGUAAUAAAACUUUUAAAAAGAGUGAAUAAUAAAAAUGAAGCCCCAUUAUCGCCCAUGUGUAUUCUAGAAACUAGUGGCUGAUGGUGCCACGUGUCGCGCGCAUCGGCUAUAAAUAAAGGGCUCUCCCUUAUGUAAUAAGUUUCAAGCGCCGCCACCAUAGUUGGUGUUAGUCUUGGUGUAGUGUAGCUAGGGAGGGAUAUAUAUCUGAGUAAGAUGGCAUCAGAGCUUGAAUUGCCCCCAGGCUUCAGAUUCCAUCCAACGGACGAGGAGCUGGUGUUGCACUAUCUCUGCCGCAAAUGCGCGUCGCAGCCAAUCGCCGUUCCCAUCAUCGCCGAAAUCGACCUCUACAAAUACGACCCCUGGGACUUACCCGGUAACAUAAUCAUUCAUUCAUUCAUUCAUUCUUCGAUUUCUGAUUCUUAAUUUUUAUUUAUUAAUUGUUACUGUGUUACUUUACAGGAUUGGCUACUUAUGGAGAGAAAGAGUGGUACUUCUUUUCACCACGGGACCGGAAAUACCCAAACGGUUCGAGGCCGAACCGGGCGGCUGGCACCGGUUACUGGAAGGCAACCGGGGCGGAUAAGCCCAUUGGUCAGCCCAAACCGGUUGGGAUUAAAAAAGCUUUGGUGUUUUACGCAGGGAAAGCUCCUAAAGGGGACAAAAGCAAUUGGAUCAUGCACGAGUAUCGUCUCGCAGACGUAGAUCGCUCCGUUCGCAAAAAGAACACCCUAAGGGUAUAUACACUCCGUACUUCUUUCUAGUUCAAGAUUAUUGCUCGAAAUUACGACUUUGUCCCUACGCUCUCAUCGGCUGAGGAUAAGUCCAGGAUUUUGGUGGAAACCAUGCAAAAUGUAUGGUCGUAAUAUGUUAUCAUGUGAAAACUACCGCGCGGAACCUUCACUAGUUGAAGACUUGCCAGCAUGUGGUCUGGGCUUGGGCCCAAGAAACUUAGCCAUCACAUUAGAUCCAAUAAAAAAACAAUAAUUGAUGCGGAAAGAAAUAAAUCUUCUGCCAAUCGCAAUUAUCACUUUCCAUUUUUAGAAAACUAUUCCUUCUUUAUCUCUCUCACCUGCCUCCGAUUGCAAUACUUAUAAUAAUAAAUGAAAAUGAAGAAAUAAUCUUACGGUGGUUGUGAUUUUUUUUUUUUUUUGUCGCAGUUGGAUGAUUGGGUGCUUUGCCGUAUUUACAACAAGAAGGGCACGAUCGAGAAACUGCAACCAAGCAGCGAUGU